AUUUUUAAUAGAAAUUGUGAAUAUUGCAGCUUUUUAAACAUUUAUAACCAAAUUCUGCUUCAAAUCAUUUCUGUUACCAAUGGUUUAUCGCUGCAUGCGCAUUUAAAUUAUUGCUUUCUAUAUCCUACCUUUUUGACUUAUCACCUACAACAGUGGCCAUCCAUUGUGUGAAGCAUGUCAGUUUUUUUUUUAAAUAGAAUUAUUAACGUGUUCAUUAGUACCUAACGAUCAGUCAUAAUGUUGAUUUUAGGAUGAAUGCUAAGGAGCGGAAGCACCUACCAUUCCAAACUUCUUAAAAUCUGUAUGAACUAUUCACUUUAAAUUGACCUGCUUCCACACAUACAUUGAACCGCCGUGGUCUGUGAUUAAUCUGCAGUGUUCGGUAAUUGUCGUUGCUGUCAUAGAAGGCAGCAGGCGGUCGCCGCAAUCGUGUAUACAGAUGUUUUUUGAGGGGUUUUCGUCAAGCGAGUGUGUCAACUUACGGCGAAUAGAAUAUAAUAACAAAAUAUUUGUGGUCUUAUAUUUUACAAAUUUACAUUAAUACCUAUUGGCUAUUGUGCAUUUUUCAUUGACAAACUUUGAAUUUCACCGAAGAGAAAAAUUGUUUCAACAGCAAUAUGAGAUCUGAUUGGACAUGUGUAAUUUAUCAACUGUGAACUACUCUUGUAGAAAAUGUAUUUUUUAAAAGGCAUUUAAAUUUAGAUUUCAAGUUAUGUAUUGUAAAAUCCAAUGGAUUUUUAAUAUGUAUUUCUAAUAAAUAAUACUGUACUCAUCUGAUAAGUAAUAUCAUAUUUAAUCAGUUAAAAGAGAUUUAUAUUAAUGUACAUUCAUAGAUUUUGAAUUGAUACAUGGCCACCAUAAAUCUAAUUUUAAAUUCCUGAAUCUGGGUGUUUCAAAGUGACAUUGUACAAAAAUCAGGGCAGAGUACCGUACCGCUUACUCUCGACUGUCAUGGUAUAUUAUCAUUAAAAAAAAAAUUAAAUUUAAAAUGUACAGGCUGCAUUCAACAAUGAUAAUAUUGUUCUGUGAUAAUCAUGUUCGUAAAUCAUAGUUUAAAAAGACCAACCUUCAAAUGGG